AACGAACGCUGGCGGCAUGCCUAACACAUGCAAGUCGGACGCGUGGUUUCGGCCAUGAGUGGCGGACGGGUGAGUAACGCGUGGGAACCUGCCCAUCGGUACGGAACAACCGCGGGAAACUGCGGCUGAUACCGUAUAUACCCUGCGGGGGAAAGAUUUAUCGCCGAUGGAGGGGCCCGCGUCGGAUUAGGUAGUUGGUGGGGUAACGGCCUACCAAGCCUGCGAUCCGUAGCUGGUCUGAGAGGAUGAUCAGCCACACUGGGACUGAGACACGGCCCAGACUCCUACGGGAGGCAGCAGUGGGGAAUAUUGGACAAUGGGGGCAACCCUGAUCCAGCAAUGCCGCGUGAGUGAAGAAGGCCUUAGGGUUGUAAAGCUCUUUCGGCGGGGACGAUGAUGACGGUACCCGCAGAAGAAGCCCCGGCUAACUCCGUGCCAGCCGCCGCCGUAA
rnacentral:rRNA from 1 species